rnacentral:rRNA from 1 species
AAUCAACGCUGGCGGCGUGCCUAACACAUGCAAGUCGAGCGAGAAGAGGGGGGCAACUCCCUGAGUACAGCGGCGCACGGGUGAGUAACACGUGGGUAAUCUGCCCUGGAGUGGGGAAUAACACCGGGAAACCGGUGCUAAUACCGCAUACGAUAACGAGGUCUGCGGAUCUUGUUAUGAAAGGAGCAAUUCGCUCCAGGAGGAGCCCGCGGCUGAUUAGCUAGUUGGUGAGGUAAUGGCUCACCAAGGCUACGAUCAGUAUCCGGUCUGAGAGGACGGUCGGACACACUGGAACUGAGACACGGUCCAGACUCCUACGGGAGGCAGCAGUGGGGAAUUUUUGGCAAUGGGGGAAACCCUGACCAAGCAACGCCGCGUGGGUGAUGAAGUCUCUUGGGACGUAAAACCCUUUCGACGGGGAAGAAACCGCAAGGUUGACGGUACCCGUAGAAGAAGCCCCGGCUAACUCCGUGCCAGCCGCCGCCGUAAAAC